GUCAAGUAUUCUUAGGUGGAACAAUGAACCAAGAUUCAGAAUAUCCUGAAAGUAUUGCUGAUAGAA
rnacentral:tRNA from 1 species